CUCUCCCUGGAGUUCAACCGGUGUCCUGGGGCUUGUCCAGGUGGAACCUGGGCACCUGCUGCUUUAACAACCUACGCUAGUGUUGUGUUAGGGGCUGCCGGGAGGGGCCUGGAGGAUGAAGGUCAAGGUCUGAGCCGACUGACCUUUGAACCUCAAGCUUGAGUCUAACCAACGGGCGUCGGUGUGGCGGCGGAGCAGUCCCGUCCCUGGGCCGAGCCCCACAGGCGUCCCGUCCAACAAGGCAUCUGAGUCUUGGCGCUCGCGGAGUUGGGAGCCCCGACGGUGAGGACUACAGCUCCUGUGCUUUUUUUGACCUCUGGUCAACAGAGGGGUGUCCUCUUUGGGGUCUAGGACUCUCUGCACCGACUCUUCGGUGAGUGUCUGCGAACAGGGGCCUGUGUUUGCUUCCAGGCUCGAGUCAGUGCGACCCUGUCCCCACACGGGGCGGGGGAGGAGGGGAGAGGGGGCGGGGCCUGGGGAGGCAGUUCCCGCCCCACCCCCCAGGCACACAGUCUGCCUACCUCUCCCAGCGGGAUCUUCCCUCCCCCGAAGUGUGUGCCAGGGGGCUGAGCCCCCCACCCCAGAAGAGGAGCGGCCCCUGAUUGUGCAUGACUAAUUGCCCGCUUCACCUGUGCAGCUGGGCCGGCCCCCUCCCCUGGGCCCUGAGCUUGUUGGUGGAAGGAAAACGGAUUUCCCCAGUUCGGCAGACUUGGGGGAGGGGGGGGGGUAGUGAACCUACUGUGGUUUGGAGCAUUUAUCAUUCACAACAGGCCUCAUUCCCUCAAGGAGGGUUUGCGGUAAACAACUCAGAAGACACCCCUCCUACUCAGCCGGGGCUCCUGCCCUAAGGGAAGCAGCCACACUGGGCCCCGGGGUUUGGGGCAGAAACCUGGAAAGGCUCAGGUCGCCUGCCCCCAGCACCAGCAGGCGCUCAGCUGAGCCACAGGCCACUCCCUAGGCCCAGCCAGCCCUCCAUCCUUUUUCUGAGAACUAUAUUGGCGUAUAAUUCAUACACCAUGAAACCCCCCCAGGUGUAAGGGCACAUCUCAGUGCUUUUCAGUAAGUUUAUGGACUUGGGCUCCCCCACCCACCCCAGCACAAUCCAGGUGUAGACCAUUUCCAUCAGCCGCACAAAACUCCUUGUGCCUCUUUGAGGUCAGUCCCUGCUCCCAUCUCCAGCCCCAGGCGACCACCCGUCUGUCCUCCCUGCCUGUAGAUUUGCCUUCCGUACACUUCCUGUCAGUGGAACCUUCCAACGUG